ensembl:lncRNA
GGAAUGUAGGAAAGUACAGUUCUGGUUAAUUCACAACUACUUUAAAGAAGACAUGAACUUCGAAAAUAGAUGUAAUUAGAAGGCUGACAUAAAUCAAGGAGCUCUUCCCUGCCUGCACUGCUAUGUUUUCCUUAUACACCGCAGCAGGAGGAUUUACUUUUCGUCAUUUUGACAACUGAGACAACGUCUGUGAAACAGCUAAUCUUUGCUUAUGAGAGAGUCCAUCCAGCCACAGAAGAAAUUUGAUGAGUGGAAAGCCAGAAAGAAAUCUGCUGGUAUUGCAGUAAGCUGGUCCUGCGGAGAUGAACGGUAUUCCUUGUCCUCAAGGCACAGCAAAUGAAACAAGCUGCUCCUCUCUCCAGCUGGGAGUUGCUGAAGGUUAAGCUUAUUAAGUCUGGAGACCUGCUGAGAAGGGAAUGAAGAGCUCACCCAAAGGCAAAAAGUCAGAAAAUGUUUCUUGGGAGAAGAAAGCCAAGGGGAGGAGAGAAUGGCAGGCUACACCCUGCUCUGCUAACGCUGGCAAAACAACGUCAGCAUCCUCUUCUAGGACUGUGUUGUUGGCUGCAGGAGUCUCCAGUCCAGACACUGCACUGUACAAAACAAAUAUCGAAUAUCGAAUAAAAGGUGGAAAUACAUCCCAGGCAACCAAAGAAUUUCCUCCUAGACCUGAUUAGUCUUAUCAGAAAGCUAAUGAUGAUGCCUCUCUGUCUGAUACAUAGGAUGAAAUUACUUAAGUGAGCAGAUAGGAGUAACCAUUUUGGACGUGUGAAGCAAAGAAUGCAUUGUAAUCCAAUGUGUUCCAAGAAGCUGGCAUUCCUGAGGUAGGAAUUUAUCUGCCAUUAUG